rnacentral:lncRNA from 1 species
UUACUAGCGAAUGGUUGUUGGAGCCUUAGUCGCCACUAAAAAUCACUCAUAACCUUUAGUGGCAAUAUUUUGGGAUUUUGUGGCGACUUUGUCGCCACUAAAAGUCAAGUUCUUUUGUAGCGAAUCUUAGUUAGCAAUGCUUAGGUGGAGGGAUUAGUCCCAUGUGGCUUGCCACGUCACUAAAAAAUUGGGGUGUUAACUCUUGAGGGUAU